GNCAGGCGUANCUUANCUAAUAAUUAAAUACCUUCUAUAACUCGCCAGGGAACAACGAACGUAGGUUUAUCACCCAAGAUAUACUAAGAUAAAUGUUUACAACCCAAAGGACUUGGCGGUGCUUUAUACCCCCCUAGAGGAGCCUGUUUUAGAAUCGAUACUCCCCGCUAAACCUCACCUUUCCUUGCUAUCCCCGCCUGUAUACCGCCGUCGUCAGUUUACCCUAUGAAGGAUUGAUAGUGAACAAAAUCGCAUUUUAACCAGCAUGGCAGGUCAAGGUGCAGCUUAUGGAAAGGGACUUAAUGGGCUACAUUUACUGAACCAGUAAAUUUACGGAAGUUUGUUAUGAAAAACCAACUGAAGGCGGAUUUAGUAGUAAGAAGAGAAUAGAGUGCUUUUCUGAACCCAAGGCCCUGAAGCGCGUACACACCGCCCGUC
rnacentral:rRNA from 1 species